rnacentral:rRNA from 1 species
UGGGAAUUUGGACAAUGGGCGAAAGCCUGAUCCAGCAAUGCCGCGUGUGUGAAGAAGGCCUUCGGGUUGUAAAGCACUUUUGUCCGGAAAGAAAUCCUUGGCUCUAAUACAGUCGGGGGAUGACGGUACCGGAAGAAUAAGCACCGGCUAACUACGUGCCAGCAGCCGCGGUAAUACGUAGGGUGCAAGCGUUAAUCGGAAUUACUGGGCGUAAAGCGUGCGCAGGCGGUUUGCUAAGACCGAUGUGAAAUCCCCGGGCUCAACCUGGGAACUGCAUUGGUGACUGGCAGGCUAGAGUAUGGCAGAGGGGGGUAGAAUUCCACGUGUAGCAGUGAAAUGCGUAGAGAUGUGGAGGAAUACCGAUGGCGAAGGCACGCCCCUGGGCCAAUACUGACGCUCAUGCACGAAAGCGUGGGGAGCAAACAGGAUUAGAUACCCUGGUAGUCCACGCCCUAAACGAUGUCAACUAGUUGUUGGGGAUUCAUUUCCUUAGUAACGUAGCUAACGCGUGAAGUUGACCGCCUGGGGAGUACGGUCGCAAGAUUAAAACUUAAAUGAAUUGACGGGGUCAUAGCUGUUUCCU